CAUCCCUACAUUCUACUGCCUUGAUAUUUUGAUCCUUCUAUCUGAAUCCCCUUCCGAUAUAACACUGUAUUAUCUUAUGUAGCUCUAUCCCUGUAGAGUUCUAAGGACCUCCCCUAGAUAAGCAGCGAGAUCCUCGACCCGCCGCUUACGAGAACCCAAUCAAUCCCAUUAUCGUGUUGGCCCCAGGCUAUCUAUUACGGACUGGUGCUGUCUACAUGUUAAUACAACCACUCAGACAUCCCACAUAAAGAGAUCACCUAUCCACCAAUUUCAGAUAUUAAUAUAGAGAUGUAAGUUAUAUCUAGAAAUUAUACACAGACUUUAAAGUAACUAGAAAUAAUAUCUAUCUAUCUAUCUACUACUCUGUUAGAAAAGAAAAAGAAGAAUAUUUCUACUUUUAGUGACUCAGGAAGUGGUGAAAUACGUUACUCUUUUGAAAGAGUUAUUGGAAUAAAACCUGUCUGGACUUUUACACGCCCAA
rnacentral:sRNA from 1 species